rnacentral:tRNA from 1 species
CUGCCCCGGGCGGCGCUAACCGUCGCCGUGCUUCGACUGCGGCUGAGGAGUCGGCUCCGCCUUCGCCGGGCCGUUCUUCGACGGCGGCGGCGGGCC